GGGUGGUACUGCGCACACGGGCUUUGGACCGGUCUUCGCGGUCGGUAGCCUUGAUUGGUUGCCGCUCGUGGCUGGUUGGUUUACUUUGAACAAAUCAGAGUGCUCAGCACAGGCGUCUAGCCGGAAUGUUCGUGCAUGGAAUAAUAGAAAAGGAUUUCGGUCCUCUUUUGUUGGUUUUGUGGACUGAGAUAAUGGUUAACAGAGACGACCGGGGGCAUUCGUAUUGCUGCGUGAGAGGUGAAAUUCUUGGACCGCAGCAGGACGAACUACAGCGAAAGCAUUUGCCAAGUGCGUCUUCAUUAAUCAAGAACGAAAGUCAGAGGUUCGAAGGCGAUCAGAUACCGCCCUAGUUCUGACCGUAAACGAUGCCAACUAGCGAUCCGCCGAUGGCCUUUCGGCCUUGGUGGGGAGCUUCCCGGAAACGAAAGUCUUCCGGUUCCGGGGGAAGUAUGGUUGCAAAGCUGAAACUUAAAGGAAUUGACGGAAGGGCACCACCAGGAGUGGAGCCUGCGGCUCAAUUUGACUCAACACGGGAAAACUCACCCGGCCCGGACACCGUGAGGAUUGACAGAUUGAUAGCUCUUUCAUGAUUCGGUGGUUGGUGGUGCAUGGCCGUUCUUAGUUCGUGGAUCGAUUUGUCUGGUUUAUUCCGAUAACGAGCGAGACUCUAGCCUACUAACUAGUGCGGGCAUUGCCGUUGUGCCUCGCCGCACUUCUUAGAGGGAUUGGCUG
rnacentral:rRNA from 1 species